GCCAGCAGCCAUAUCACCCUGCAAGUCACAACUGGCAACCCACUGAAGCUCAGCAGGUGUGAGCCUGUUCAGUACCUGGAUGGGAGACCUCCAGGGAAAAACUAAGGUUGCUGCUGGAA
rnacentral:rRNA from 1 species